rnacentral:rRNA from 1 species
GACGAACGCUGGCGGCGUGCUUAACACAUGCAAGUCGAGCGGUAAGGCCCUUUCGGGGGUACGACGAGCGGCGAACGGGUGAGUAACACGUGGGUGACCUGCCCUCAGCUCUGGGAUAAGCCGUGGGAAACCGGGUCUAAUACUGGAUAUGACUCCAUGACGCAUGUUGUGGGGUGGAAAGCCUUGUGCGGCUGAGGAUGGGCCCGCGGCCUAUCAGCUUGUUGGUGGGGUGANGGCCUACCAAGGCGACGACGGGUAGCCGGCCUGAGAGGGCGACCGGCCACACUGGGACUGAGACACGGCCCAGACUCCUACGGGAGGC